UGAAAGUGCUGGGCAGCACCGUGGGUAAUGGGAAAGUGGCGAUUGUUGGUUGGAUUGGAUGGGCGUAAAUGGAGCGCAGGGGGAAGACCAAGGCAGGCGUGAAAGCCCCGGGCUUAACCUGGGAACUGCGUUUGGGACUGGUUUGGUAGAGAUCGGGAGAGGAGAGUGGAAUUCCCAGUGUAGAGGUGAAAUUCGUAGAUAUUGGGAAGAACACCGGUGGCGAAGGCGGCUCUCUGGACCGAGACUGACGCUGAGGCGCGAAAGCGUGGGGAGCAAACAGGAUUAGAUACCCGUGUAUUC
rnacentral:rRNA from 1 species